UACGAAGGGUGCAAGCGUUAUUCGGAGUGACUGGGCGUAAAGAGCGCGUAGGCGGCUUUAUAAGUCGCGUGUUAAAUUCCACAGCUUAACUGUGGGUCAGCAUGCGAAACUGUAAGGCUAGAGGUUAAGAGAGAGCAGUGGAAUUCUCGGAGUAGCGGUAAAAUGCGUAGAUCUCGAGAGGAACACCGGUAGCGAAGGCGGCUGCUUGGCUUAUACCUGACGCUGAGGCGCGAAAGCGUGGGGAGCAAACAGG
rnacentral:rRNA from 1 species